ACGGGAGGCAGCAGUGGGGAAUAUUGGGCAAUGGGCGAAAGCCUGACCCAGCGACGCCGCGUGAAGGAAGACGGUCUUCGGAUUGUAAACUUCUUUUAUAAGGGACGAAGCAUGACGGUACCUUAUGAAUAAGCCACGGCUAACUACGUGCCAGCAGCCGCGGUAAUACGUAGGUGGCGAGCGUUAUCCGGAUUUACUGGGUGUAAAGGGUGUGUAGGCGGGAUCGCAAGUCAGAUGUGAAAACUAUGGGCUCAACUCAUAGCCUGCAUUUGAAACUGUGGUUCUUGAGGGUCGGAGAGGCAACUGGAAUUCCUGGUGUAGCGGUGAAAUGCGUAGAUAUCAGGAGGAACACCGGUGGCGAAGGCGGGUUGCUGGACGAUUACUGACGCUGAGACACGAAAGCGUGGGGAGCAAACAGGAUUAGAUACCCUGGUA
rnacentral:rRNA from 1 species